GUUUUUUUCCAUGUAAGUAGAGGACAGGUGAAGUAAAGAGUUUUUAAGAGUGUCGUGAGCAAGCAGUGAAUAUCUAAAACAAAUCAACUGAAGAAACAUCAACCUGAAGAUUUUCAUACUACAGUAAACCAUUCAUCAUGAAGCUGAUUCUUUUCCUUUUCUUCAGUUUCAUUGGUCUCGCAACAGUCGCUUUAUCCAUCCUGCAAACCGUCCCACAUAGAUAUCACCUGAUAAUGACA